UACGUAGGGUGCGAGCGUUGUCCGGAAUUAUUGGGCGUAAAGAGCUUGUAGGCGGUCUGUCGCGUCUGCUGUGAAAAUCCGGGGCUCAACCCCGGACUUGCAGUGGGUACGGGCAGACUAGAGUGUGGUAGGGGAGACUGGAAUUCCUGGUGUAGCGGUGAAAUGCGCAGAUAUCAGGAGGAACACCGAUGGCGAAGGCAGCUCGCUGGGACGGUACUGACGCUGAGACGCGAAAGCGUGGGGAGCAAACAGG
rnacentral:rRNA from 1 species